rnacentral:rRNA from 1 species
CACGUAGGGGGCGAGCGUUGUCCGGAUUUAUUGGGCGUAAAGAGCUCGUAGGCGGCUCGGUAAGUCGGGUGUGAAACCUCCAGGCUCAACCUGGAGACGCCACCCGAUACUGCCGUGGCUAGAGUCCGGUAGAGGAGCGUAGAAUUCCUGGUGUAGCGGUGAAAUGCGCAGAUAUCAGGAGGAACACCGGUGGCGAAGGCGGGUCUCUGGGCAGUAACUGACGCUGAGGAGCGAAAGCGUGGGGAGCGAACAGG